rnacentral:lncRNA from 1 species
UAACACCAUCUAAUAAUGCGGAAGUCAUAAUCAACUCAAAAUAAAACUCCAAAAUCGGGUAGUCACAUGUACAACCCUCUAAAGUAUUACAAUUGAUUCGAAAGAAAUAUAAGUCUCAAAUGACAUUGUUUUUAGAAUAGAACAAGAUCAUAAAUAGGAGUAAGAAGGUCCGCUGAGAUGACAAAAAACUACCUCACAAAUCUCCACAGGAAGCCUCGGAAAAGAAGAGAAUAAAAAGUAUCACGAAUAUCCGAGCUCGUAACCUACAAAAAUAUUGGAGCAAGGGGUGAGUACCAAACCACACGGUACUCAGCAAGUAAACUUCUAAACACAAGCUAAGGAAAUAGAUGGAUACUCCUUACACCCCAACCAAACCUCUACAACUACAACCUGCAUAAAAAUCAGUUCAAUCUAACAAUUCACAAUUUACAUAGCCCACAGCUCAACAACAACAAUCUAACAAUUACAUAUCCUCAGCAACAAGCUCAGUAUUCAUCAAUCACAAGUUCCAUAGAAGGCACUCACAAGAUCAACACACACAAGAUCAAGUUCACCAAUGAUAAAGAUGUGCAAGACAAUGUAAUGCAAUGUCAAAUAUAUAGUGAUGUAUGUCUGACCUAAUGAUACACACCCGCUGUCUCUCAGUCUGAGACCCAUGGGGGACAUAGUUGUCCAUGCAUCAGUUGCGACGUGUGACACGACCCUCGAUAAUAAAAUCCACCGCGGCGUGCGACACAUCCCUCGAUAAUAAAAUCCAUCGCAGCGUGCGACACGUCCCUCGAAAUAUAGUAUUUGUCGCAGUGCGCGACACGUCCCUCGAAAUGGUACAUCCUUUUUUUUUUUUAUUCUUCCUCAAUUCACAUAAAACUUGUCAUGACAACCAUAUCUCAGAACCAAUGCAAAUGACACGUUCACACAAAUAAUGCGGAGAUGACCAUUUUCAUAACAAUACACAAUUCACAAUAACACAAUAGUGAUACAACAUCAACAAUGAAUCAAUACGCCUUUCAAUCCAUUCUUAACACAUCACACACCAAUAAUUAAUCACAUCGCCUUUUGUUACCCUUUUCUCAUCAUUAGAAUUAUUCAAUAUAGACAAGUCACCCAUCACCAAGUCUCAUUAUGUCCCAACACAUACCACAAGGAAAUACACGAUUCUAUCCACUUAACAAGGGUUUAGAAAUCCAUUUGCCUCGAACAAUCAAACAAUUACUCCGGGACUUGAGUAUUCUCAUUUCAGUGAACUUCCAAACAAAUGCAAUAUAUUCACAUAAUAAUAACAAUAAGAUUUUGAAACUAACAACAUCCAUAUUACUAUAUUUCUAGCCUAGACCCAAAAACUCACUCAAAUCUAUAAUUAAGUUCCUAAUCUUGGCACCAAUUAAUAUGUCAACUUUUAUAUUUCUCAAAUUCAAGCAUUGGGUUAGGUCUUAAUUGCUCCAAAUAUCAUAAAUAUAAUAGACUUCAUGUAAUAUAAUACACUGAAUAUUUAAUUACCUAUCUCAAUAAAUCAUAACCUAAUUUAUAACGUGAUAAUAAUAAUAAGGAAAUUAACCAUUUACGAACCAUUAACUAAAACCAAAUCUGAAAACCUCCAAAAUACAUAUGCAUUUUUCUCUCUUCUGUUACUUCAACCAAAAAGGACCCUAAUCAUCACUUACCAUCAAUUCCUUACUACAACCACUUAACCCAUCAAUUUAUAUCACCCACGUUGCCUCUUUUCCAAUCCAAAUUCACGUGCAGUGAAUACUACACCCAUAAUCAUCUAAGCUUCCUCCAAUGGGCCCUAACUGUCACGUCACAAGUCUACACUCUGGACGUGGCCGACACUCGAGAACCAUUGUUGGUCCCCAAGCGAACCUUCAUCCUGGCUGACUACAAGCGAAAGACUAACUUAAGCAUACAAAAGCUUAAUAACUGAAUUAAGUUCAAUAAACUCAACUUUAAAAUAAUCUGAACAAUACUCAAUAUUAACUCAGAUUUUGUAAAAACAACUCAAAGAAGAUACAUACUGAAAACUACUCAACUUUGUCUAUCUAUGAAGCCUCUACUAUUACAGAAGUAUAUCGGGACAAGACCCACGACAUCUCAAAACUACUAACUGUAAGAUAAAAUGUGAAGUCCUCCAGAAUAUAAAAAGACUCACCAAAGCUGACUGGAACAUCCCAUGACCUCAACGAAAUACCUGUUGAUGAUCCUGAAUACUUGUAUCUACAUCAUGAAACGAUGCAGUUCAAAUGGCUCAGUAUAUGGAAUGUACGAGCAUGUAGGGGGGAUUUUAAAGCAUAAACAUAAGCUUGAACUGGUGGAAAAGAAACAUACUUACCUCCUCUCAACUCACUCAACUCAAAUAAAAGAAACAUAGUUCAACUCAACUCAGAGAAAAUAGGGCUCAACUCAAUAAUAAGAUAUUCACCUCAGUGAAAUAAGGCACAACUCAAUAAAAUAAGUUUUAAAACAAUUUGUUAAAAGACUUCUUAAAAUAGGGUUCAUGCCAAAUAUGGACGUGAACGGCUCAAUUCAAGGUUUUCAAUAACCAAGCAUAGAAUUCAAUACUUCAAACUCAACAACUCCAAAACUCAAGGAGUCAAUGAUACUACUCAUCUCAAAAAUGCUCGGGGGGAGGGGGGGUUCAUGCGGAAUUAUGGGCAUGAACAACUCAACUCAAGGACUUCAUGGGUAACAUGUAAUAGUCUCAUGAUUAGGUAUAUAAUCUCAAAAGGGUUAGGAACUCAAUACUCAAGACUUAGAACUUGAAGAUACUACUCCUCUCAAGGAUACUCAACUUAUGGGUUUCAUGCGGAAUUUAUGGGCAUGACCGACUCGACUACAUAACAAUAUGGAACUCAUGUAUAUGACUCUUCUCAUUCUCAUACUUACUUCCUCAAAACAUAGCUCAAAUCGAUAGUUGAUCUCAAAGGAUUCACAAUUGAACUCAAAGACUUUCUUGAACUCUACUCAUAACUCUCUCUUGAAUUUAUAUUAUGGAUUCAUGAGUUAUGAUUAAUGAUAUGAAGGAUCUCGUGAUGAUAAUGUAGACUCAUGAAUACAUUCUCCUCAUUCACAUACUCACUUACUCGAGUCUUGAAACAAGUUAUUAGAAAUUGUAGAAGACUCCUCAAAAAGACUCAAAGGGACUUUCUCAAAAUACUCGAAAGAACUCUCAAGACUUGACUCUUAACUCUACCUUGAAUUUGAAUUAUGGAUUCAAGGGUUCUGAUUUGUGAUAUGAAGGAUAUCGUGCUGAUUAAAUGAGUUUUAUAUAUUUAAUCAUAAGAAAUGGUCAAAAAAACAUUGUAUGGGAGCAAGUCUGCGACGCGGAGAUUAAUUAUAAUAUUUGGUCUCAAAAUAAUUUUUGAAACAGUGGAGUCCGCGUUCUCUCCGCGACACAGAGAGGGAAAUUUCACUCUGAACAAAGUCGCGGACCUAGUACCUUAUUUUAAGCUCGGUCUUUUCUUACUCGUUUUCUAAUCCCAAUUUACCUACAAUCGAAUGGUUUCUUUCCCAAACACUUAGAUUCGAAUACUCAACUUAUGUACACGAUAAUCUACUCCAAGCCACCCUCAAUUCACUAACUUUUAUCUCAAGAAUUCAUCAAACACAUUCUAAUUCAAGAAUGGAAACAAUACUUUCAAGAAACAAAUCAAGAACUCAAAUUCUUCAACUUCAAGAACGAAACUUCGCUGAAAAUAACAUGAAUGGCAUGUGGGUGAACGAACCCAACACUAUGAGAAACUCACAUACCUCUCAGGGAUCACAUCCAUGGCAAAAAUCCACAACAAAAUUCAAGAAUCUCGACGAACGGUUUGAUCAUUUCCUCUUUCCUCCUAGUUUCUCUUUUCUCUUCUUGAACUCUCAACUAAAACCCUAAGCGUAGAUUCGGAUUAUAAAACUGAACUAAAUCAGUUUAGACCCCUAAAACCUUACUAAAAAUGAAUUAAAUCUGCUUGGGUAAGGAAAAGACCAAAAUACCCCUCACUAUUUUUGGGUAACUUUCCUUAACUAGACAACCUGACUUCAAAAGGGCAUAUCUCACUCAUCCGAGCUCAAAGCUUAACCAUAUGGGGAUAUAAGACGUGGUAUGCAUGACCAAGAUAAAGUAUUGUAAAAAAACUUUAAAGAAGAAUCAUGAAUCAUGAACAUGGUCAAUGCAUCUUAUAAUCAUUAAUGGAAGCUUCAUAAAACCUUUCACUACAACAUUUUAGGCCUAGGGCCACACUAAUUCUGGACAACGCUUUUAAAGCGUAGCCCAAGUUUUUAACUUUUAGCUGCGAUAAUAUUGGCAACACUUGUAAAAUGUACUCUUUAAUGGUAUAAGCUACACUUUAUAAGCGUUAUUAAAGUAUGAUAUAAUUGGCAACAACUAUUUACAUAUAUGGCCACACUUUUAAAGUGACCUAUUUUUAUAAUUGUAAAAACAACACAUUACAAAUGUGGCCUUAAAAUUUUCACUAAAAUUUUAUAAUCCCUCCAACAUUUUUAACUCUCCCUCCCAUUUUUAUUGAGCAAAAAAAAUAUUUCAUAAAACAUUAAAAUUUUCUUUUCCCCCAAAUUAGAAUUGAAGAACUGAUCGAGCUGAAGAGCUCUUCUCUCGGUCAAACUUUCUCACAGAACAAGCAAAAAUUGUUGAAUCGCUGAAGAACAAGCAAAAAUCACUGAAGGUUUAUCAGGUAAGUCUUUUUUUCCCCAAAUCAGAAAAACUUUCCGUCAAUUUGAAGAACACGAUUUUCUCUCCAAGCUAAGUCUGAAGAACACGAUUUUCGUCAAACAUUCUCACAGAUUUCACGAUUUCACGUUGAAGAGCUGAAGAGCUACUCGCUAAAGAACACGAUUUCACGAUUUCUUAUUGAAGAGCAGAAGGUUAUGCCUCACAGAUGAACACACCUCACUAAAAUGCUUCACUUGAGAAGAUGGUGUCUUAAAGCUUCAUCACAUUGAAAGGAUUUUGGUGGAAUAGGGUUUAUCAGGUAAAAAAUUCUAUCUUUGAAAGUCUAAAUUUUAGCUUUAGGGUUUUGAUAUUCUUGUGUCUGCAAAUAUGAUUUUUGUUGAUUUUUGGGAGUCUAGCUCGUAGUUGUAUUACCCACAUCAGUUGAUUAAUCACUAAAUAAGUAUAAAUCAACAAGGAAAGCAUACAAAUCUGGGUGUUUGUGGGAAGUUGAUAAAUACUUGUUUGCAUUUUUUGGAGCAUAUGGUUGAAAGAAAUAUGAGGUGUUUUGAUGGGGUCUCAACUCCCAUAGAUUCUUUAAAGGCCAAACGUAAUGCUAGUUUAUUAAUCACUAAAUUAGUGUAAAUCUUAUAAGUAUUAUGUUUUUGUUGCUUCAACUUUAUUAGUUUCUGAAAUUGUUUAUCUAGUCAUGCUUUCCAUUUUAUUUAGAUUUUAGGGUGCAGUGAUUAAGUUAGCUUUGGAUAAUUUUGGAUAGAAAUGAAUGGCUAAGCAUUCUUCUGGAAACUGAUUACAAGUGUUAAAGAAUUGUGGACUUGUACGUGCGAAACUGACGAAGAAAUUUUCAAGUUGAGACCAUUGUGUAGAACUACAUAUAGAGGUACAAUUGGUCCUAGUUGCAAGGAUCGGGGAGGAUGUUUGAUUCUUUUCAACUUUUUCCUCCUGAAAGUAGUCAAACCCAAUUUUUCUAGAACAUAGCUUCAUUUGGCCAACUUGGUCAGCUGCUGGUAGGUGUAAAAUUGCUAUAGAAUGUCAGAGUUAUGACUCCAUUUAGAUAGGAAGUCAGCUGUACAGUUUGCCUCUCUAUAUAUGUGAUUGCACUUGAAGAUUUCCAGCUGAUUUGUGAGCCUUUGAAGGUCCUGAAUACACUGUUGGAGUGCCCAUGGAGGGUGGUUGCUGUGAUUUAGCCAAUGUAUAAGCAGUUGAGAAUCAACUUUCAGCUGAAUUUUCCUAUACCCAUGUUGUAUGCACCAGUCCACCCCAUGUAUUGUAGCUCAAAUCUCUGUCUGGUUAUUAGUUCCUAAGCCGAGAGGAAUAGAGAAUGCAUAGUUAAUGUAAAAAAUUUGGCUGCUUUACUUCUACUGUGAUUUCUACUUUUUAACUUUAUAAACUCUGACUACACUUACUGAUUCGUCCUUUGUUCGACUUCUGUGGAUUACAUCCCGCUGACUGUGAAGUUGUUGUGCUUCAUUUUUUCCCCUUUCGUUUGAUCUGUGGGCUCUGUGUGGAGUUUAUUUUGUCGGCCUACACUUGAUUGUUCAAUUUUAUUUUGUUGGCAUACACAUAAUUGUGUAAAUUUUGUUUUUGUUCUUGCUGUCAGCAAACUUAACAAAGUUUUAGCUGUUUUGCGAGUAGGAGUUAAGGUUCUUCUAUGUAGUAGUUAUGUGUAUUGGAUGGAGCUGAUAGAGUGAAGAAAGUUGAAUUCACACUUCACUCAGCCCAUUUUCCCCUCCAUAAGAACACACCAGCAAAUACAAUACCAAAAUUAAAUUUCAUGAAUAUCAUUAGCCCUAUUCCUAUCAAAUACUAUCUCUUUUGGCGAAUGCGAUACGCACCCAUUGACAUUGAAUUGGAUGAAUAUCACCAUCCUUAUCAUUAUCAAAUACUAUCUCUUUUGGCGAAUGUGAUACACACCCGUGGACAUUUAGUUGGUUUUACUAUAAAAAUGAAUACAUUGUGCAGUGGCAGUUGUUGUUCUUUACCAAUUUAAAAUAGAUAUACACAUUGAACAUGCAGGGCUAAUGAGUUCUAAAGAAAAGAAUGAUGACUCCCUCUCAACAAAAAGGUCUGCUGAGAUGAAACUUAGACGACGUGAAAUGGAUAGACUGGUUUCUGCAGAAAAGAGAGAGGCACAAUUACUACAACGUCAAACAAACAGUCAGGAGCUAAAAAGAAAUAUUAUAUCUGCAACAUCAGCUUUUCAUGUGCAAGAUCAUCCUGCUGCAAGUGUACAAGGCUGCUGCUCCACCUCUCAGAAUCCUCAUCAAAUGGACUUUUCUACUAUUCCCGCAGCAAAAGGUCAUGUCAAAAAACUUUUCUUAUUAACUUGGAAUUUAUACAUGUGGUGAUGAUGGAAUGACAAUAGAUAUUUAUAUUUGCAGGGUAUUUUUGAAGGAAAAACGUAAUGAAGAAUGUACAUAUUCUGUUUGGAAUUAAGCUGUAAGAUAGUCAUGUUAUGACUUAUUGAGUUCAUUACUUAAUUGAUGUAAGAUGGUACACUGCUGCUAACAAGAGAUAGAAGACACACAUAGAUACAUAUUAAUUAGGCGUCAUCACCUACAUUGACUCCUCCAAGUCAGAGUAAAAUUCUAGAAUCAUCAAAUCUGAAAAGCUUUGUUGGAAUUCAGGGUUUGAUUCUUUAGCAUCAUCAUUCUCUCUUUGAUCUGCUUUUACUAAAUUAUUUUCGAAUUUGUCAUUUACUUUUUAAAUUUUGUUUCUAUUAUGUGAAAUAGCUAUGAAAAUUGUUUAAUUAGCAUACACCUACUUUAAAAGUACUAAAAUUUAUGCUUAGAUAAUGUUAUGCAAUUUCAUAGUUUGUUGUCCAAUUUGAGAAAUGAAUUUUGAUUCACACUUGCACUACAUAAGGUGCAUGCAUUAUGAAAUAUUUAGGUAAUUCAGUAGUUCAAUCAUUGAAGAUGAUUUCAAGCAUAAUGUUAGCGUAAUUAAUUAGUUGUGCCUCUCUGAUUACUUGUAGCUCAAUUUAAUACUACCCAAUUUAAGGUUUCCAGUAAGAAACUUGAAUUGAACUUUAAACUCUGCUUCUUUUGGUGAUCAUUGAAGAUGAUUUCAAGCAUAAUGUUAGCGUAAUUAAUUAGUUGUGCCUCUCUGAUUACUUGUAGCUCAAUUUAAUACUACCCAAUUUAAGGUUUCCAGUAAAAAACUUGAAUUGAACUUUAAAUUCUGCUUCUUUUGGUAUUUCUGUCAUUGAACUCAAUUUCAGGUUCAUCUUUUCAUCUGAUUUAGUUUUGAGGAGUCAGUUGGUUGAAUUUGUUAAAGAUACAUCAUUUUGCCAUAACGUAGUUAACUAAUCAUGCUUCCUAUAAUUCUUGAUUUUGAUAAGUUGAUUAACUAUUUUCUCGGUAAACUUUAACUACAUACAAUUACCUCACUUUGCUCAAGCUAAUCAGGCUUCAUGCCAGGAAUAGAAGAACAUCUUGAAUUAACAGAAUUACAAUGCAAAACUGCUCCAGAGUAUAUGUGGUAAUAUACAAUUGCAAUUCACACCUAAUUAUUAUUAUGCUUCGUCAAAAAAGUUGUCUACCUUUAAUCGUUUCUGUUUCUCUUCAUUUUAAUCAAUUCAAAAUUAUUAGUCUCAUUUAUUUUCUUCUCUUAUAUAUACUUGUUAUAUAUACUUGCAUGUAGAUCUAACGCGUGUAUUCCCUUCAAAUCACGCUUUCAUCUUGGAUUUGAAAAGCAACAAACUCAUCAAAGACCCCUUCACCAUUUUCUCUGUUCCUUUUCGUCUCAUUUAUUCUUCUUCAAUUAUAACUGAUCUUUCUUGCUGAAACCUUUGCUUGAGCAGUAGAAAAUUUGGGGAAAAUUGGAAGCUUCCUCAGCUGUUUAACUUCAACUUUGCUCAGGUUAGUACUUUUUAGUCUCAUUUUGUUUGAUGCGAUAUCAGUUUCAUAACUCUUACAAGCUGAAAUGUUGCAUCUUUGUCCAGUAAACUCCAUUGUUUGACAACUUUUUUCCCUUUCUAGUUUUCUAUUUCAGCUAAGAUUUCUUCAUGUCUUUUUGGUUUCAUAUUGUAGUAUUUUGACUCUAGUAUAAUUACAAUCUCUUUAGUAUUAGUAUUAAUGUGUUGUGGCGUGGAGCUUCUGGAUUUAUCUCGUAUAUAGUUAUCAUUUUGAUUAAGUUAUCUGAACAUAAUUAUCACUUGAUUUCUUUGUUCAUCGUGAUUGAAUGAGUUUGUGUUGUAGCUGCCUUAGAAUUAGAUUUUGUUUUCUGUGGUUCAGCUACUGUUUAUCCCUGCUCUCUCUCUCUUUAUUUGAAGUUGUGAAAAAAUGCUAAAAAUCCCUCUCUUAUUCAUGUCUAAAAUGUCUGCAAAACAGUGGCAUACUUUGUUAAUUUUGUUUACUGCUUUGCUCAUGUUCAAAAUGUUCAGUUUCAUUCCAUUAAUAUAUGUGUCUACUACUGCCCUUUUCUUAGUGGUAUGAGACAUUGAUUCUGCAUUGUCAUUGUUUGUGGACUGCUAUGUGUUAGGAAGGAAAUUUGUUUUUGAAGGUGGUGGUUUACUUCAUUUUAAACUAGUUUUCGCCUUACUCCUUACUUUUUGAAUUUAGUUCUUGUUACCCUCAUAUAUGAAAUUUCAUAUUGCAUUUUAGACUUAAUAAUAUCAACUCCAAUAGUCUACUUCGUUUUUUGAUUGAUAAUCGCUUCCUUGUCAUUAUCUUUGUCUAAGUAAUUAUGUCCCAAAUCCACCUGAUUAAUUCACUCCCUCAACACCUGAUUGAAGACAUACGAGUCUACCAGAGCAUCUUCAGCUAUCUGUAAUAGGACAGUAAAGAAAACGGUGCUUGUUGCGUCUCUUCCCCCAUAAUACCUCUUCUCUAUAGGUUGUCGUGGGCUUAAAAGACAUGUUUUUCGCAACCAGCCAUCGACAGCUUGUUAACAUAGACACCUGCAUUUUAGUUUGGGGCUGGCUAUUUUAUUGAUUCACACCUCAGUAUUUGAACUGUAUUUUAGUUUGAAAAGUGCUAAACAAGACUUGUUAUGUGGAUGGGUAAUGAGACGUGAUGGUUUUCAACUCACUUCAUUAUGUAGCUUAUAAUUCACUAUAUAUACAUGGUUUAUGCAAGUUUAUCCAUCAAUUCUCAGUGUUAGUUGUUGACUCCAUCACUUUUAUCACUUAAAUGUAUGGCCUCACAUUUUUAACCUUACCAAUUGUUAUCUCUGUUGCCUUUGAAAUGCACUUUGGUUACAACUUAUGGGACCUCUAAGAAUAUCUUGAAUUUUUUCUCCUGCUGUCUUGUUCUUUGGUCUGAAGUGGACUACAAAAUUCUGAAAGUUUUUUUGCCGUUAAAUUUUAAUUUGUAAACUGUAAUCUGCAAUCUACAAUUUGGAACCUGCAAUCUUGAACUGUAUUCUGCAAUCUGGAAUCUGGAACUAUAAUCUGUAAUCUGCAAUAAUCUGGAAUUUGGAACUGUAAUUUGUAAUCUGCAAUCUGGAACCUGCAAUCUUGAACUGCAAUCUGAAAUCUGGAACCUGUAAUUUGGAACUCAUGUAAUCUGUAAUCUGCAAUAAUUUGGACUUUGGAACUGUAAUCUGGAACUCAAAAAAUCUGCAGUCUGCAAUCUGCAAUCUGGAACUGCUGCAAUCGGGAAUCUGGAACUUCUUGCCUCUUCUAUAACGUACUGCUGCAAUCUGAUUUGUUGUACUUUUAAAUGUGUAGGGAAAUGAAGGUGAUCAGAUUUGAAGGGUCGCCACAAGUCAAUUUGAUCUCAUUGAAGUUGAUGAAUAGUUUUUGAACUAUUGUAAAAGUUUGAAUACAUUAUGUUUGAUUUUGUGAAAUAUAUUCAUUGCUAGAAUAUAUUGAACUAUUGUAAGAGUACUUUCUGAACUAUUGUGUACACAUAUUUAGAAUAUUGAUUUAUAAGUAUGUGUAUGUGUACACAAGAUAUACUAUCUUUUGAAGUUUAUUGCAAAUCUAUAUAUUUGAAUUACUUAUGAGCCAAUUUAAUGCUUGAGAUUAUUUAUUGCAAAAUAAUAUUGGUGUUUUUUCAUUAGUUAAUUAGAAAUUGUGGCAUAUAAAUAUUUUAUAGCCAAAAUGAUAUGGCCACACUUAAAAGUGUAGCCAUAGGGCUAUAAAUUGUGGUAUGCACGUGGUCAAGGACUACACUUCAAAAUGUUGUCAUACACUAGAUGGAAAAGGCAACACUUUAAAAUCGUUGUCAUACAUUAAAUAGAAAAGGCAAAACUUUAAAAUCGUGGUCAAUAAGGAAGAAAAGGCCACACUUGAAAGUGUAGUUGUAUGAGAUAGAAAUGUUGCUAUUUGAGGUACAUAGAAGCGUUGCCAUUUAGCCUUUUAGGCUACGCUUUUAAGCGUAGCUGAUAAGGAAACACUUUUCAAGUGCUGCCUAAACUCUAAGGUAACGCUACUUUCGGGCACCCCUGGAAAAGUGUUGCUUAAAGUCCAAAAGUGUAGCCUUUUAUCAAAGGCCACACUUUUUGCUAGUUUAGGCAACAUCUUACUGGGGUGGCCGUAGGCCUAAAAUGGUGUAGUGUGACUUGAACGAAUUAUUUUUAGUUUUUUUUGGAACUCAAGGUGCAACAUCUAGUGACCUUAACACUCAAGAAAUUUUAAAUUCCUCAGUAAAAUCCUACUCACAAUGAAGGAUGGUUCGAGUAUUAGUUCAAAAAAAUUCUAGGGUGUUACAAUAUCUCCCCCUUAGGAUCAUUCGUCCUCGAAUGACGGCUGGACUGGUUAUGGAAUGGGUCUACUCUUAUUAUUUCUGCCAUUCCAACUAGAAUUGCCCGCAUUACUCUUCGAGACCAACUAAGGGCUUUAAUUUAGCUAUUUCUCAUAGCAAAACCUCAUCCUCCUCUUCCUUCACAUUUAUAACUUUAGAUGAAUUAAACACACCAUCACUAUCACGAUAAGAUCAUUAACCUUCCCUUUCUAACAUCACUACAUUACUAAAUGGACCUCUAAAAAGAUAUCCCCCAAACUCUUUGGAACUCAUUACUAACUUAUUCUCAAACACUUGACUUGAUUUCUCAUCUUGCCAUCUCCCCUUUAGGUCUAAAGCUAACACUUGAAAGUUAUGGACCUAUUCCAUCAUAUAUAAACUGGUCUACAUCCUCUUUUACUCUAACAAUCAGGAGAAGUUUAUCUCAUGCCUAUCGAACUCUCCAUAAGCAGGUACUAAGACCUCUCUCUAACGUGUUCCUCUUAACCUCUUCUGAUUACAUACCAUCUCGAUACACCUCUUAAUGCUCUUGUAACUCUUGUGACUUAGCCACACUUCAUUUCCCUUAUCUAAAGGUUAGGGUCUCUCACUUGUACCACUCAUAUUUAUUGCAGCUAACAUCUCAAUUUCUCACCUGCUCUAUGUUAAGUCUUCUAGAUCAAAUCCCAAGACUAACAUCAUCACUCUCAUGUUGCCAAUUUUUUGGUUAUGACACUUAUCUCAAAUUCAAGCUUAAUGUUUAUUACUAAACCUGAAUAUCAAUAUGAUUACUCGCCUACUAUACUAACUCGCCACUACUAUGCACAAUUUUAGAAACACUCGUUCACUAGGACCUUAUGACAAGUACUCAAUCCUUAUAUCUCUGUCUACAUACUCACAAAUUACCAUCACAUUCCACUUCACAACUUAAGUACUACUUACUCACUUACUGCGCAUUAUCUCUCAAAUAGUUCUAUCAUCCUCUAAAUAUCAUAGGGUUCUCCUUUCAAAAUUUAUAAGCCUAGCUUGGGUCUAUCACUUCAUUAGUACUCUACUAUUUGAUUCCACACCUAUAUUUAGUAUCCUCUAACACGAUGACACAUCGACCUCAACUCUUAUUCUGGUUAACAAUAUAACUUAUAUUGACUAGUAACUAUUCCUCUUUCUUCUAUCAAGAACUCUCUACAACCUUAUUAUUCUUUUUUUCUACUCAUAAAGGAACUCAUCACUUAUAAUUUACUAGGUACACGGUUGCAAUAACAUAAUUUGUCUCAUCACUAUCUCAUUCUCUUAGAUAAUUGAACCUCUGCAUACUUUCCUCUAAUUUUGGGUACUUUCACUACUACUGCUCAUGAUCUCGUAACUUAUGUUACCUUUUCGGGCAAAAAUACUACACAAGCUCUAAUCAGACUUCCUCAUAAGGAUCUUAGUUAUAACAAGGCUUAAGGAAAAGAGUACAACUCGCUUUUAGCUCAAACGCACGAUUCAUAUAAUUAUGGGUACAUUCCUCUAAAACUCAACACUUAACUCACUCAUGGGCUUCUCUCAAGCCCUUCUGGAGUCUCAUGACUUCCUCAAGACUCUUGUUAAGAAUAACUCAUCGAUAAAGGACUGGCUUUUCUAUUCAACCACCUCUAGUAUGAGGGGUAGUCGAAUGAAUCUGAGAAACGCACGAGUAUGAAUAAUCUCUAUGACUUAGCUCUAUUGAACGAUUAAGAGUAUGAAAGAAGGAAAACUUUUCUUAAAUGUCUGCAGUCCCUAAUUUAAAGAAGUGGAGCCCUCACAACCAUAAACAAGAUUGUACCGUCACAUCUUCAUAGACACCCUAGGACACCUGAACUCUGUGCUCUGAUACCAAGUUUUUCACGUAUCCGAGUCUACACCCUGGACGUGGCCGACACUCGAGAACCAUUGUCGAUCCCCAAGCGAACCUUCAUCCUUGCCGACUACAAGCAGAAGACUAACUUAAGCAUUCAAAAACUUAAAAACUGAAUUAAGUUCAAUAAACUCAACUUUAAAAUAAUCUAAACAAUACUCAAUAGUUAACUCAGAGAUUGUAAAAACAACUCAAAGAAGAUACAUACUGAAAACUACUCAACUUUAUCUAUCUAUGAAGCCUCUACUAUUAUAGAAGGAUAUCGGGACAAGACCCACAACAUCUCAAAACUACUAACUGUAAGAUAAAGGUAAAGUUCUUCGAAAUAUAAGAAGGCUCACCAAAGCUGAUUGGAACAUCCCAUGACCUCAACGAAACGCCUGCUGAUGAUCCUGAAUAUCUGUAUCUGCAUCAUGAAACGAUGCAGGCUAAAUGGCUAAGUACAUGGAAUAUAUGAGCAUGUAAGGGGAAUUCUAAAGCAUAAACAUAAGCUUGAAUUGGUGGAAAAGAAACAUACUUACCUCUUCUCAACUCAACUCAAAGAAACAUAAUUCAACUCAACUCAGAGAAAAUAGGGCUCAACUCAAUAAUAAGAUACUCAACUCAGUGAAAUAAGGCUUAACUCAAUAAUAAGAUACUCAACUCUGGAUACUCAACUUAAUAUAAAGCAACAAUACAGAUGCAAUAUAUGGAAAACUUUUAAAACAGUAGAAAGCAACUCAAUGUAUUGAAAAAUACAAUAGUAACUCAGUUUGUAUGCAAGGAUACAAGAUAAACUCUGCUUGUAUAUAAAAAUACAAAGUAAACUCUGUGUAUAUAAGAAUACAAAAAUAUCUCUAUGGAAGUUUCUCUAAUCGACAACCAUCACUAUGAAUUAUAUGAUGAUACAACGUCAAACCCACGCUUCCAGAGCCAUCCUAUACUUUGCCUGGGUAUAGAACCUACUACUAAGUGGAUCACUAGUCUAUGCUAAAAGCAUUAAGGAAUCAUCUAAAAAGUAUGACCCUUUCUACCCACAUUGGCUACAUGGUUUAUGAGGGUUGUGAGUUGUAUGAUCUCUCCCCCAUAUUGGUGCUCAAUACUACUCCCGAAAUAUACUUAGCUCAUUAUGUUUCAAAGAAAACAUUUCUNNNNNNNNNNNNNNNNNNNNNNNNNNNNNNNNNNNNNNNNNNNNNNNNNNNNNNNNNNNNNNNNNNNNNNNNNNNNNNNNNNNNNNNNNNNNNNNCUCAAAACUCUUUUGGAAAUCUCAGUUUCCUCUCAUCGUAAAUUUAAAAACAUUUACUCUUGGGAAUACUUAGUUCUCAUAUAUCAUUUUAAAGAAAAUGAACUCAGCUCUACUCUUCCUCAACUCAAUGCUCAAGUUUUUAAAACAAGUUUUAAAACAAUUUGUAAAAAGACUUUUUAAAAUAGGUUCAUGCCGAAUAUGGACGUGAACGACUCAAUUCAAGGUUUUCAAUAACCAUGCAUCGAAUUCAAUACUUCNNNNNNNNNNNNNNNNNNNNNNNNNNNNNNNNNNNNNNNNNNNNNNNNNNNNNNNNNNNNNNNNNNNNGGGUUCAUGCGGAAUUAUGGGCAUGAACAACUCAACUCAAAGACUUCAUGAGUAACAUAUAAUAGUAUCAUGAUUAGAUAUAUAAUCUCAAAAGGGUUAGGAACUCAAUACUCAAGACUUAGGAACUUGAAGAUACUACUCUUCUCAAGGAUACUCAACUUAUAGAGUUCAUGCGGAAUUUAUGGCAUGAACGACUCGACUCAAGGGUCUACAUAACAAUAUGGAACUCAUGUAUAUGACUGUUCUCAUUCUCAUACUUGCUUCCUUAAAACAUAGCUCAAAUCGAUAGUUGAUCUCAAAUGAUUCAUAAUUGAACUCAAAGACUUUCUUGAAUUCUACUCUUAACUCUCUCUCUUGAAUUUGAAUUAUGGAUUCAAGGAGUUUAUGAUUAAUGAUAUGAAGGAUCUCGUGAUGAUAAUGUAGACUCAUGAAUACAUUCUCCUCAUUCACAUACUCACUUACUCGAGUACUUGAAAACAAAAUUAAUUAGAAAUUGUAGAAGACUCUUCAAAAAGACUCAAAGGGACUUUCUCAAAAUACUCGAAAGAACUCUCAAGACAUGACUCUUAACUCUACCUUGAAUUUGAAUUAUGGAUUCAAGGGUUAUGAUUUGUGGUAUGAAGGAUAUCGUGAUGAUUAAAUGAGUUUUAGAUAGUUAAUAAGAAGAAAUGGUCAAAAAAACAUUAUAUGGGAGCAAGUAUGCGACGGAAAGAUUAAUUAUAAUAUUUGAUCACGAAAUAAUUUUUAAAACAUUGGAUUCCGCUUUCUCUCUGAGACGCGGAGAGGAAAAUUUCACUCUGAAGGAACAGGUUCGCGACGCGGACCUGGUACCUUAUUUUUUGCCUGAUCUUUUCUUACUCAUUUUCUAACCUCGAUUUGCCUAGAAUUGAAUGGUUUCUUUUCCAAGCACUUAGAUUCGAAUACUUAACUUAUGUACAUGAUAAUCUACUCCAAACCACCCUCAAUUCACUAACUUUAAUCUCAAGAAUUCAUUAAAAACAUCCUAAUUCAAGAACGGAAACAAUACUUUCAAGAAACAAAUCAAGAACUCAAAUUUUUUCAACUUCAAGAACGAAACUUCGUUGAAAAUAACAUGAUUGACGUAUGGGUGAACAAACCCAACACUAUGAAAAACUGACAUACCUCUUAGGGAUUAGACCCAUGGCGAAAAUCCGCAACAAAACUCAAGAAUCUCGACGAACAGUUUGAUCCUUUCCUCUUUUCUCUUAUUUUCUCUUCUCGAACUCUCAACUAAAACCCUAAGCAUAGAUUAGGAUUAUAAAACUGAACUAAACCAGUUUACACUUCUAAAACCUUACUAAGAAUGAAUUAAAUCUAAUUGGGUAAGGAAAAUACCAAAAUACCCCUCACUAUUUAUGGGUAACUUUCCUUAACUGGACAGUCUGACUUCAAAAGGGCAUAUCUCACUCAUCCGAGCUCGAAAGUUAGCAAACUCGGUGGUGUUGGUAAGAUAAUUCAAAGAACUUUCUUUUUAUAGUUUAUGGGUCACCUAACAAAUCGCGUACUGAAAGUUAUGGUCGUUUGAAGUUGACCCUAAACUUAAGUAACUUACGAAUAACUUGAACGAAUUCUCUUUAGUUGUUUUUAGAACUCAAUGUGCAACACAAGUAAACUUAACACUCAAGAAAUUUUAAAUUUCUCGGUAAAAUCUUACUCACCACAAAGGAUGGUUCGAGUCUUAGUUCAAAAAAUUUCUGGAAUGUUACACUAACGAUAGCCAUACAAUAUCACAUCUAUAUGCUAAUAAUAUUUUGCCUUAAUUAUCAAACCAACAUCUACGUAUAUCAGCAUAAAAAAAAUGGUUAAGGAUUUCUCCGUACCUGGAGGCCUUCUUUUCUUUGUUUCUCUUCGUGCACCUGUGUCGUUUGCACAAGUGUGGUUCUUUUCUUGCUUUUAAUUCUUUAUGGAAAAUAAUUAUGGACUACUAAAUAAAUAAAUAUUAAUUCCUAAUAAUUUCUUCAUAUACAUGGCCAUGUGGUAAGGGUAUUAAAUAAAUUAUGGAUUUGGCCCAAUAACCACCAAUUAAUAAAAAUUAAUUAUUUAAUAAAUAUACGUCGACUAAAUAACCACAGUUAAACUAAUCGUUUAAGAUUCUCAUUUAAAUUUUAUGAAAAGGUUCUUUUAUGAAAGAAAUAGAUCUAGUACUCAAACAGACUAAUGGAUCGUUACAUAAUUCACCACUAAAAACUAUGUCCGUCCUCGAGCAUAAAGAAGGAGAAGGAAGAAUAACUAACUUUACCAAAAGUCUGGCUUAUGAUCUUCCAAUCGGUGUUCAUCUCUCAAAGUGAGCUCCUCCUUAAGACCAUUCCAUCAAGAUUAACUACAAAGAAACAAAUGAUUAUCAGGCCACAUACUAACCCAUAAAGUCAAUCUAAACUGAAACCCACCCACUGGACCAUAACACAACCAUCAUAAUGAAUUUUUUUUCUCAUAUAACCAAGAUAACGUUCUGAAUCAAUAUUGGCUACAACUAGUAGUGAACGUGAACCAAUCACUACACACUCAUAAUGCACAAACCAUCACAGAUAUUAUCAAGAUUUCCUUUCCAUAACACAAUCUUUUCACGAGUUUAAGUUAUAAAAAUCUAAUCUUUAGAUAUCGGAUACUCAUCAAGGGAGAAUCAAUUUUUAUCUAACCCAAAGAAGAAAAUGAUUAAGUAAACACCCAACAAGCGAUACACUUCAAAAUUCAGAACCUCUAACAACACUCCUAGACAAUUGUAACUCAUUAUAGCUCUUAUAUAAGUUCUCAUAAGCGACGUUGUGCGUGUAAACUACUGGUAUACUUUAACUAUCCCAAACAACACCAAAUCUACCAUAAUUGAAAUAACCAAGUCUUUCCAAGGAUCCUACCCUAUCAAGAGGACAUAAGAGGAUCGGUACAUCCGAUCCACCACUAGGGAUUCACCCAUAAAUGUAGAAACACACGUGGACAUAUGCAAUGAAUCAUACUGCAAAUCAUGUCAGAAACGAAGUAGGUGAUCACAAAAGAAUGUACGGAACCAAGGUCAAAUAACACAAGAUACUCUUUUCAUAGUGUCCAUACCAAAUAUUUUCACUCAUUUGACUCCAUCUCUUUGAUUUUUAGCUACCCACAAUCCACCAGUCUUGUCCCCAAUACGAUCCUACUCAUACUCAAUGUAUCAUACCUCACAUACUUCUCAUAUUACUCCACUGAAGUCAACCAUCUUAAUACUAACAAAACAUCAUAACCACACUAGUCAUUUACCUUACUCUCAAACUUUCACUAGUAUCAAAGUCUUUUAAGCAACACAUUGUCGCCUUCAAAAAUUAUGAACCAUGGCUCCCUUUAUUUUCAUUUAAGCAUUCCAUGACAGAUAGGAGUCACACUUAAGACUGAUAGAACUAAUUCAAAAUCUAAAAGUAAUUUUCCAUCGAGGUAUAACAAUUGAAUCAUACCCAAAGUCAACUUCACACAAACUUUCACAUACAAUAUUUCAACUACUAUUCCAAACCAUCACAUAACUCAUUCUAAAACUCAUAGAAAUCCUUGGUCACUCAAAUAAUUAUGUAUAUUAUAAUCUCAUAACAUUUAUUUACCAUCCAAUGUCUAUGCAAUGCAUCACAAUAGUUUGUGUAGUCUCAUCAAUAGGGUAGUAUCAAUCUAACUCGAAAUCCUUAAUAAUCAUGUAGAAUUGUAUCAUAUCAUAUAGUGCAUCCACAAGUCAAUUAUAACACCCUGGAUCCAGAAAAGGGCAAAGCAACAGUUUUCAGGAAGUUGUAGGUGCCAAUUGAUGAUGGUCGACCACGGACCGUAGGUGUGGUAUGUGGUUGGUGUUGACAUCCUUCGAAAGGGCACAACGUCGCGAUGACUCACCAAAAAAUAAUAAACAAUUUAAAGAAUGAAAGAAUUUUAAAAAGGGUAAAGGGGUUUAGAGAGAGUCGCUACCUAAUUUUAGGAAAACUAGGAAACCAAUUAACUAACUUAAUAAAAAUGUCUACGAAACCAAAGAUUCUAGGUAAGGGAUUCAAGUUAUUCCGAAGGAAAGGUGUUAGGCAUCCUUCGAAAUCCACAAUUGUGGGUCCUGACUGAAUUCAUUUUUUCAAAUUGAGGAGGAGAUAAAAACAAAUAUACAAGUAUAAUAAGCAAGUGAUUUACACAAGUAAUAAAAUGAAACAAUAAUAUAAGAAACGGCCUAAAGCUUGACUAACAUCGAUAUAUACAAAAUAAUGAAUAAAGAAUAUAAUUCGAAUUUCAUUCGAAUAGCUUUAAUGGGAAGCAACUCUGUGUACAUGUAAAGACACAUAGUAAAAAUAUUAGUAAUAAAUAAACAUGAAUAAAAAUAAAUGAUCAAAGCAUAACUUAAAAGUAAAAACCCGUCUUAUUAACAUGGAAAGCCUUGAAAAUCAACGAUAAUUUCUUCAUCGACCAUUUUAACAAACAAAAUAUGAACAUAAACCAAAUUUCCGUCUUUUAACAUUGGAAAAACCUCCAAAAUCGAUAGAGAGAUUUUUCAUUGGUCAUUGUACAUACAACACAACACAAUAAACAAUAAUAGCAACAAAAUCUUAUAAUAUAGUAACUAAAUAUAAACCAACAAUAUAUGAACAGUAACAAAAUAUAAAAUUCAUUGGAACAAAUUUCCACACCAAAUCAUUAAACAAAGAAUAUGUAACAUUAUAAUGAUAAAAAAUAACGACAAAACAAUAGAUAACAUUCCAAAAAUAAUAAAGAAAUAACCAAAAUCCAAAUCACUGCAUAGCUCAUUUUAUAGUAUUAAAAAAACGUUAAUAAGAUAAUAAAUAAAAUUCAAGACUUGAGCAAAAGCAGAUAAAAAGCAAACUAAAAAUCAAAAUCAACAAAUUACAAUGUAAAAGAAGAAAUAAAAUAAUGAGAUAUUUAAAAUAACAAAAACAUAAACAACAACAAUAAAGUAUCUAAACUAACAAAUUUUAUCUUUGGACCAAAUCAUAAGAUAAUAGCACAUAACAAUAGCUGUAGCAACAUAAUUAAGGCAACAUAUCACGGAGAUAAAUAAAUCAAAAAAAUUGGCUAAAUAAAGCCAAGACACCCUGGAGAAGAUGAGAUUAACAAAAAAAUACCACUUAACACAGUAAAAAAAAAAAAAACUAUUCAACUCAACAAAAGCAUAACCAGCAUACAAGUCAAUAAUGAUUAAGAAUAAAGAGCAAAACAAAUCCAAGUAUUAAUUAAUAUUUAGAACAAAAUCAGACUGAGAGGGAACCUAACUGACGGAGUUCUCUUUGAGUCUCCAGAGUUUGCGUUGCGGCGGCGUGUGGUGCUCAUCGGUGGUGUUUGUUUAUUGCUCUGAUGGAGCUGAUUCGUCCCGCCUUUGAUGGGAGCUGUGGAUUUAUUGUUGUUGGCGACUAUUCGCCAGAGCUUAAAGCUCGUUACUGAGCGGUGAUGUUGCUUUUCGCCGGAAAAUGUGAGGAAUGGAGGCAGUUUUCUGGUUGUGGAGCUCGAUUUUGUUUUUGUUUGGUCGAGCUGGUAGUUAUUGGGCGGCUGUCAGCCGCGUGGGAGCUGCUGGUUCGCGCUGGACCUGCAAAAAUAACAGAAAAAUCGUGAAGGGAAAGGGGAAGGGGACUGGCGGCGUGGGAUCUGGUUUGGAGCUUGGAGUUUGAGCCGUUGUUUGGGGUUUUGGUAGCUGUUUGCAGGUUAGCUUUGGGUGGCGAUUUGGAGGUUGUUGUUGAUUCUGGUCGGGGUUUGGUUGGCCUGGCGGUUAUUUUGCUGGAAGAAGGAGAAAACAAAGGGGGAUUUUGGUCCGGUAGAUCUGUGGUUCGUUUCCGGUGGUAGCUGGUCGUUUGGAAAGAGCUGCUGGCGGCUUCCAGCAGCGAAGAAGAGAAGUUUUGGGUCUGGUGACGGCCAGAAAAAUGAGAAAAUGAACGGGGUUUUGGUGGUGGACUCAUCGGAAUUCGGCAGAGCUCCGGUGAACUUGGAAAAUAAUGAACAAUAAAAAAAUCUGAAAAUUACUCCUAAAAUCUUAUCCACCACCUUUUAAUUUAAUAAGCAAACUAUUCUUUAAAUAGGAAAUUGAAAACUAUCAAUAGUACAAUAUUACUAUCUUAAUAUCGUGGGCCAAAACCACCGGUUAAUAAAAUAUAUGUGUAUGAAAUAUUAUCUAUAUCAAAAUGAAUUUUUGGACUGUGCAAAAUAUCAAAAUGAAUAUUAACAAAUGUAACAGAUAAAAUGAAUAUGAAAAAAUGUAACAAACGUAACCAAUGACAUAUAAAAAUUGCAAUUUAACAGAAAUAAUGAUGUUAUAAAAAAUGAACAAAUAUUUGAACGUAUUUAACCGACUGUGACAAAAUAAUAUAAAAAGAAUUAACUGAUAAAAAUCCUAAUAUUUUGAGAAUAAGGAUAAUUAUUAACAAAUUGCAUUAAAAUGACAAAACAUGUAUUUUGAACUAUUUAAAAAAUAAAAUACUUAAAAAAUAUUAACUUUAGAAAUAUCAUACCAAAAUUUGGUGUCAACAACUUGCCUAUUUGUUUGAUUAGGAUCGAUGAAAGAGAUUCUGGUCAAACAAAGUUGACGAACCCAAAUUUAAUUUGAUAAACUUUGAACAAAACAAUAUGAGACGUUAGUAGAGAUUUUGAACAAUACUCUACAUCCGCCAAUGUGCUGAAAAUAAUAAAUAGAAGGCAAGGAUUAAUUGUAAACUGAACAACAUUCACAUACCUUCGAUGUUACUUUCAAAAUUGCACAAUGAAGGUAGUGUACCUCUUUGAAAGGAGGAUGAUGUGAAUAACAAGUCACUUUGAACGAGGUGACAACCCUACGCGUCUCUUUGAAAGGCGGAUGACACAAUUUGAACAUAACAUGUCACUUUGAACGAGGCAACAACCCAACAUGUCUCUUUGAAAGGUGGAUGACCCAACUUGAAUAUAACAUGUCACUUUGAACGAGGUGACAACCCAACGUGUCUCUUUGAAAGGCGGACAACACAACUUGAAUAUAACAUGUCACUUUGAACGAGGCGACAACCCAACGUGUCUCUUUGAAAGACGGACGACCCAACUUAAAGAUAACAUGUCACUUUGAACGAGGCGACAACCCAACGUGUCUCUUUGAAAGGCGGACGACCCAACUCAAAUAUAACAUGUCACUUUGAACGAGGUAACAACCCAACGUGUCUCUUCGAAAGGCGGACGAUCCAAUUUGAACAUAACAUGUCACUUUGAACGAGGUGACAACCCAACGUGUCUCUUUGAAAGGCGGACGACCCAACUUGAACAUAACAUGUCACUUUGAACUAGGCAACAACCCAACGUGUCUCUUUGAAAGGCGGACGACCCAACUCGAAUAUAACAUGUCACUUUGAACGAAGUGACAACCCAACGUGUCUCUUUGAAAGGCGGACGACCCAACUUGAAUAUAACAUGUCACUUUGAACGAUGUGACAACCCAACGUGUCUCUUUGAAAGGUGGACGGUCCAAUUUGAACAUAACAUGUCACUUUGAACGAGGUGACAACCCAACGUGUCUCUUUGAAAGGUGGACGGUCCAAUUUGAACAUAACAUGUCACUUUGAACGAGGUGACAACCCAACGUGUCUCUUUGAAAGGCGGACGACCUAAUUUGAAUAUAACAUGUCACUUUGAACGAGGUGACAAUCCAUCAUAUCUCUUUGAAAGGCGGACGAUCCAACUUUAACUUAACGUGCCAUUUUAAGGGAGAUGAUAACCCAAUCUUGAACUUAAUAUGAAUGGUGUAUCACAAUAUCUGCAAUAACAAUGUUAGUAACAAAUAUAACAUAAAUGCAACAUAAAUUAUGCAAACAUGGCCUCAUAUGAACAAGGUAUUAACCAAUGCAAUAAUUCAAACUUAAUAACAUCAUGAAUAAAAUAAAAAAAUGUCAAUUUGAAAUGGAAUAACAAAAUAAAAAGUGUCAAAUUGAAUGGCAUGACAAACCAAUUUUAAAAAACAUCAUUUUAUUUGAGAUAACAAAUUAAUUUUUUUUAAAUGUCAUUUUGAAAGGUAUGACGACCUAAAUUUAAAAAUAUGUCUUUUUAAAGGGUAUGACUACCCAAAUUUAAGAAAAUAUCAUUUUGAAGGAUAUGACGACCCAAAUUUAAAAAAAAUGUCAUUUUAAAGGGUAUGACAAUUCAAAAAUUUGGUGUCAACAGUUGGUCACCCCAGCCUUGACUCAGAAACCCAGAACCACGGCCUGACCAACGUACCGUCGAUCAAACCAUGGUUCGUGGUUCAUGACCCCAAAUUUCUAGUUUUUGAAUCGAACGACGGACCGACAGGAUGGGCUAUCGGUCAUACCACAAUCCAUUGGUCGAGAUCUGUAGGUCGCAGGGUCGGCAGUUAUUUAAGGGGUAGUUCAAACUUGUCCUAAUUAUCUUAUUCAUAUACUACGUCAUUUUGCCUAUGUCUAAGACCCUUAUAUAAGUGUUUUCAACCUCCAAAUUAGUUCAUUCAAAUCAUUCUUCCAAAAUUUACAAAAGAAGAUCAAAUCUCCUCCCCAAAAUAAUUCUCUCUCUAGAAACUUGAAGAAGAAGAAGAUUCAAGCUAGGGUUCAAGAUCAAGCUUUCAUUCUUCAAUUUCUUUGGGCUUUGAUAGUCAGGUAUGAUAGUUUUCAUUCAUGAAUUCUUUUUAAUAAUGGAGUUCCCAAAUUCUCCUAUUUUCAAAGGUAAAAAUUUCCAAUUGGGUUAGGGUUUUCUUUAAUUGAAAUGGGUUCUCUUCCAAGUUGAUUUAAAUGAUUGAAUUGUGUUCUAAUAUGCAUGAAUUGAUGAAAUACUAUGAUUUUUAUGAUGUUUCCCCAUGAACCCAUAUAAAUCUCAUGUUUUCCAAUUAUGAUGAUGUGAUGUGGGUUUGAAUUAUGAAAAAUGAAUUUAUAAAAAUAUGCAUGUCUUCUCUUUAUGAAAUAGAUGUAAAUGAAUUUGAAGAUGCUUAAGCUUUGAAAAGAUCAGCUUAUGAAUUAUUGAAAAGAAUGCAUGUUCAUGAAACUAUGUUUAUGACUCCAAAAAGCUUAUAGAUGAGAUUGUCUAUAUGUUCUAUGAAACUUGGACACAUGACAUGAAUGAUAUCUAUAUUUGCCCUCAAUGCUUUUCAGGCUAACAGGUUUUCUUCAGUUCCAUCCCCAAAAUCGAAAGAUUUCUCCGUGAAAUUCAUCACCAGGUAUGUGGGAUUUCACUGGUGGAUUCCUUUCAUCCACUAGGUCCCUAGAAUUCAGUUAGAAUCUUGAUUCCUAUAUCUUUCUUAGACCUAGGGUUUCUAAAAGCUUAGAUAUUAGUUGUGAUUUAGCUGUUAGAAUAUUCCUAAUCAGAUUAUCAUGUUUUCAUGGAAUAUUUGCUUAGUCCUAUGCAUGGAAUUCAUAACCCUAGUUGUGUAGAUUCUCUUAGUUCAUGAAUUACACAUUCUAGAUCAGUUAAAUAGAUAUACAUGCUUCAUUUUUUGAAUGUCACAUUAUCAGUAUAUAAUUGUUACAUUCUCAAAUUUUGCAUGUAAGUAUUUUGAGCUAUUCAGCAUAUCAGUAUUUCAGUCAUAAUGUGUCAUAUACUUAUACAGUUGGGAGUAGGCUUAGAACUUAGUGGACUAGGGUUUUAAUGUACCCUCAUAGUCCUAAAACUGUAUGCCCCGUAGGUUAAGUCCUCUCUGUAGGCAUCAGUUUCAAUGAUUACGCCAGUCAUGCCUUUAUACCCCUGGCAAGGUAUAUUGAACCCUUCGAUGUGGUGCAUACAUUGGACACCAUGGGUAACUCACGUGAUGGUUAUGUCGGUUACUAGUAGCUCCCACAGUCAGAUUCUAGUGCAUUUGGCCAGGUUUUUAGUUAUAUUUCAGUAUUCAGUCUCAACAUGUUAUGUACUUGGUCAUUGCAUUCAGUUAAGUUCUUCUCAGUAUAUUUCAGUAUUUCCAUCAUGCUCAGAUUAUAUCAUUGCUCAGUUAUGUUUUGUUCAGCUUAUAUGUUUUGUUCAGCUAUUAUCCUAUCAUGCAUGCUCAGUACUGUAACACCCCGUAGCCGAAAGAGGGAAGCUUAACGGAUUUUAGAAUUUCCAGGUGUCACCCACGAGGGCCAACCACUCCCCGUGGUUGGAUCCAUGCCCCGUAGGUCAGUCCGUAGGUGGAUACCAUGGACACUACCUAAGGUAGACCCAUGUCAGGAACCACGCUUCGUGGAUGGGUCCACGCCUCGUGGUUAGAGGUGUCGUGGGUGGCCAUCAUAGUUUCUGACAACCAACCGCGAUUGACCAGGACGAACCUCCAUCCACGGCCCGUCAACGUGGUCUCGUGGGUCAGGCCUGGUCGAGUAAUUAAGGGGUACAAUGGGACUUCCCGGAUUUAAUUAGAAUUAAGUGGUGUCGUUUUACCCUAGAUUAAACCACCUAUAUAAGUACUUUAGACCCCUAAAUUAAGUCAUUCUUUCAAACUCACCAAAAGAAUUGGGUUCCUCUCUCUCAAAUAAUUCUCUUUUUAGAAAGUUGAAGAAGAGGAAGAGGGUCAAACUAGGUCAAGUCAAGUCUCCAUUCUUCCAAGCUUGGUAGGCUUUGUAAUCAAGGUAUGAUGGUUUAUUCAUCCAAGGAGCCCCAUGAUUUUCCCAAUUUAGAAGAAGAAUUCCCCAAGUCUAAUUAGGGUUUCUUAUAAUGUUAUGGGUUAUGCUCCAAUUGAGUGGAUUAGGGUUGUUUAUGAUUGUUUAUGAUGGAAUUACAUGUUUUUUGUAUGAUUGUACAUGUAUACAUGCUUAACCUAUGAUUCUUAGGUGAAUUUGAUAUAGAUAGGUUUUAUGCGAUGAAAGGGGAAAUUGAGGGUUUAGAUGUAAUCUUCUAGGAUUGAUGAUAUACAUUAUAGAUUGCUUGAGAUUGAAGCUUAUAGAAAUGAAUUGAUUAAGAGUAAAAAUGUCACAUCCCGAGCCUACACCAUGGGUGGGACUGGCACUCGAGGACCAUUGUUGGCCCCAAGCGAACCCUUGGCAUGGCUAGUUACUCAGCGGAAGACUUAACUCAUGAAGAAAAAUACUUUUAAAAGUGAACUGAACUGCUCAAUAAACACUUAUAAUGUAUCAAGAUAACAUUCGCUAGCCAAAAAUGGCAACUCAAGUCUCAAUCAUUAAAAUAGGAAAUAAAAACUCAAGAACAAACAUCUGACUGUCUAUGAAGCCUCUAAACAACCGAGAUGUAUGUCGGGACAAAACCCACGACAUCCUAAUGAACUAAUAAUAAUACUGAAAGUAAUAAAAGGUAUCCUCCAGAAAGCAAGGACGCUCACCACAAGACUCUGAGUGCUCAACUUGAUCAACGAUGCGCUUGAUGCUGAUCCUGGUUACCUAUGUCUGCAUCAUAAGAAGAUACAGACCAAAUGGCAUCAGUACAUUGAAUGUACGAGUAUGCGAGGGAAAUUCUAAAACAAGACAUAAGCUUGAAAGGAACUGAAGAACUUACCUGGCUCAACUCAACUCAACAUAACUGAACUCAUUUCAAUAUAAAACAGUUUAAAACAAGUGCAAUAUAAAGAAAAGUUGUUUAAAACAUGGAUGCCAAUUCUGUGUGUAUGGAAAGAUACAAUAUAACUCUGAAAUGUAUAUAAAAAUACAUAUAAUAAACUAUGUAUAUAAGAAUACAAAUACUUAUGUGGGAGUUUCUCUAACUCUGAGAUGUAUGUAAAAAUACAAAUAAACUGUGUAUAUAAGAAUACAAUUACUUAUGUGGGAGUUUCUUUAACCGACAACCAUCAUUUAAGAGCUAUUGUGAUGAUACAACAUUUUGCUUCACGUUGCCAGGGCCGUCCUAUACUUUGCCGAGGGUAUAGAACCUGAACUACUAAGUGGAUCCACUAGUCUAUGCUUAAAAGCACUAAGGAAUCAUCUAAAAAGUAAUGACCCUUUUCUACCCAUGGUGGCUACAUGGUUUAUGGGGGCGUGUGAGUUGUCUGAACUCUCCCCUACUAUCGGUGCUCAAUACUACUCCCAAAAUAUGAUACUAGCUCUUAUGUUUAAAAAUAUAAAUUAUUUCUAUGGUUUGAGAUAAUUGCUCAAAACUUAGCUCAAAGGCUCUUCUUGGAAAUCAAAGUUUCCUCUCUUGCUUAAUUGUGAAAGCAUUUACUCCUUACUGAAAAAUUAGCUCAAAGGUUGUUUACUGAAAUAUUAGCUCAAAGGCUCUUUUGGAAAUCAAAGUUUCCUUUCUUGCUUAAAUGUGAAAACAUUUUAAACUCUUUCGGAAUACAUAGUCCCAUAUACUCUUUUAAGAAAUGAACUUCAACAUUUACUCAACUCAAAACUCAAAUCUUAAAACAAAGUUAAAACGUUUGUAAAAGACUUUUGGAAAACUCUUAACUUCUCUUGACUUGACUCUUAACUUCUCUUGAAUUGAAUUUAUGGAUUCAAGGAUUGUGAUUUGUGAUAGGAAAGAUCGCAUGAUGUUUAGGAGUGUUUAUAGAUAGUUAAACAUGAGAAAAUAUCAAGAAAUCACUAUCAGGAAGUAAGUCCGCGACGCGGAGAUGCAUUUAAUUAUUUGGUCGCAAAAUAAAUUUUGAGGUAGAACAGUCCGUAACUACUCCGCGACGCGGAGAAAAAUUGUCAAUUCUGAAGAACAGGUCCGUGACGCAGACCUGAUACCAGAUUUGCCCGACUUGUUCCUUCUUCGUUUUCUAACCCCAAUCACCUAAACUUGGUUCUUUUUCUCAAAUUCCCUUUAGAUUCAGAUACCCAGUAUGUAUACACAAUAAUCUAACUUAAACAACUCAAGGAAAAAACAUUUUAACCUCAAGGAACUCCUCAAUCAUAACCUAACUCAAGAACGAAGGCCAAUUUCAAGAACACCAUUCAAGAUUCAUCAACUUUCAACUUUCUAGAACGAAUUUCAUUGAAAUAAACAUGAUUGAUGUGUGGGUGAACAAAUCCAACACUAUGAAAGACUCACAUACCUCGUGGGGAUCACCCCUUGACGAAAGCCACGAUCCUAGCUUCGAGAAUUUGACGAUUCUUGCUUUUUCUCCUCAUUUCUCUUCUUCUUUUCUUUUCUCUAAAACCCUAACUCAAUAUUGUAAAAGCGUAAACUAAAUCCUAUCAGUUCAGUCCCCAAUUAAUUACCAAAAAACGAAAUUAAGUCAUGGGAUAUGGAAAAGACCAUAAUGCCCUUUUAAAAUCCGGAUUAGACUUUCCUUAUUUGAACAACCCAACUUCAAAUGGGCAUAUCUCACUCAUACAAACUCGGAAUCGCGCAAAUUUGGUAGAGUUGGAAAGAUUAUUCCAAGAUAUUUCCUACGAUAUUUGGAAACACACCUAACUCGAAAUCGCGCAAUUUUUAACUUCUUUCUAGUUACGGGGUGUUACAAUAUCUCCCCCUUGAAAACAUUCAUCCUCGAAUGAGUUUACUCUUAUUAGGCUAAGAGUGUAACAGGAAACAUGCAGUUCAAACACCCAACAAGCAUAAUGCAAUUACAAUAUGCCAACUUAUAAAUAAAAUGCCAAGAAAGGAUUAGUACCUUAAUUUGGAACUUCUCCGGAUUCGAAGAGAUGUGGAUAUCUCUUCUUCAUAUCCUCCUCAUCUUCCCAAGUGGCUUCCUCAACAAACCGAUUCCUCCAAAGAACUUUGAUUGAUGCUACCUCUUUUGUUCUCAACUUGCGAACUUGGCGAUCGAGAAUCUGAACCGAAAUCUCUUCAUAAGAUAAGCUAUCCUGGAUCCCAAUAUUUUCAGUUGGUAUAAUCAAUGAAGGAUCGCCCAUGAACUUCUUCAACAUGGAGAUGUGAAAAACCGGAUGAACUGCGGCUAACUCUUGUGGUAGCUCCAACUCAUAAGCUACAUUACCCAUCCUUUUGGAUAUUUUGUAAGGGCCAAUAUACCGGGGACUAAGUUUCCUCUUCCUACCAAAUCUCAUAACACCUUUCAUGGGUAAAACUUUCAAGUAUACCCAAUCAUCUACUUCAAACUCUAACUCCCUUCUCUUAACAUCAGUGUAGGAUUUCUGACGACUCUGCAUUGUUUUCAACCUCUCUUGAAUCACUUUCACCUUCCCCAUAGCUUGAUGCACUAAAUCUAGUCCUAUCAACCCUACUUCACCAACUUCAAACCAUCCAAUAGGAGAUCUGCAUCUUCUCCCAUAACAAGCCUCAUAAGGAGCCAUUUGGAUGCUAGAGUGGUAACUAUUGUUGUAAGAAAACUCAAUAAGGUGUAGGUGAUCAUCCCAAUUACCUUUGAAAUCAAUCACACAAGCUCUCAACAUAUCCUCUAAGGUCUGAAUAGUGCGCUCUGCUUGCCCAUCUGUCUGAGGAUGAAAGGCAUUACUUAAGUUCACCUUUGAACCCAAGCCUUUUUGGAAUGACUUCCAAAAUUGUGCAGUAAAUUGCGCACCUCUGUCUAAAAUAAUGGAGACUGGAACCCCAUGAAGUAUUACCACCUCUUGAAUAUACAACUUAGCGUAAUCUCCUGCUGAAUGUUGUAGUCUUUACCGACAGAAAAUGGGUUGAUUUUGUCAUUCUAUCGACAAUCACCCAAGUGGAAUCAUGUUGCCUGUGAGACCUUGGUAAACCUGUGAUGAAGUCCAUGUUGAUCAUAUCCUACUUACAUUCUGGAAGUUCUAUAUUCUGAGCCAUACCGCCUGGCCUUUGGUGCUCUACUUUAACUUGUUGGCAAUUCGUACACUUGGCCACAAACUCUGCAAUGCCCUUCUUCAUACUACUCCACCAAUAAACUUCUCUCAAAUCACGAUACAUCUUUGUGGAACCUAGAUGAAUGGAAUAUCUGGAGCUAUGAUCUUCCUCCAUGAUCCUUUCUUGGAGUUCAUCCACCCUUGGUAAACACAACCUACCUUGAUACCUCAACACACCAUCUCCCCCUUGUUCAAAAGCCAAUACUUUUUACUUAUGAACAUUUGCCUUCAAUUCAAAAAAAAUAGGAUCUUGGUCUUGUUUCUCUUUUACUUCUGACACUAAUGAUAAUUCAUCCCCAUUCAUCACCACCACUCCUCUAUCUGUGUAAUCCAUUAGUCGGAGUCCUAAGCGUGUCAGUCUAUGCACAUCUUUCGCUAACUCUCUCUUAUCUUCCUCAAAAUGGGAGGUACUACCCAUAGACAACCUGCUCAAGGCAUCAACAACAACAUUAGCCUUACCUGGGUGAUAAAGAAUACUCAUGUCAUAAUCCCUUGAGUAAUUCCAACCACCUCAUUUGUUUGAGAUUAAGCUCUUUCUGAGUAAACACAUAUUGAAAGGCGUCUUUGUGAAUCAGUGAACACAUCCACAUGAACACCAUAAAGAUAAUGGCGCCAUAUUUUCAAAGCAAAAACUACAGCAGCCAACUCUAGAUCAUGGGUUAGGUAGUUCUUCGCAUGAACUUUCAACUGUAUGGAGGCAUAAGCUAUAACCUUGUCAUUCUGCAUUAACACACAACCUAAACCAACUCUAGACGCAUCACAAUAUAAAACAAAACCUUGUGUCCUUCUGGUAAAGUCAAUACUGGGUAGUAGUCAACCUCUUUUUCAAUUCUUGAAAGCUUUUCUCACAAGCUUCAGACCAUUGAAAUUUCACUGUCUUCUGAGUUAACUUGGUCAAAGGGGAUGAAAUAGAUGAGAACCCCUCUACGAACCUUCAAUAAUAGCCAGCCAAACCCAAGAAACUCCUAAUAUCAGUUGUUAAUGUGGGUCUAGGACAAUUCUAUACUGCCUUAAUUUUCUGAGUAUCAAUUUUAAUUCCCUCUCCAGACACAAUGUGGCCUAAGAAUGCCACAGACUCAAGACAAAACUCACACUUAGAGAACUUGGCAUAUAACUCUCUAUCUUUUAGAGUCUGGAGAACUAUUCUGAGAUGGAUAACAUGAUCUUCCUUAUUUCUUGAAUAGAUUAGUAUGUCAUCAAUGAACACGAUAACAAACAUAUGUAAAUAUGGCUUGAAUACUCUAUUCAUAAGGUCCAUGAAUGUUGCAGGCGCAUUGGUCAAACCAAAGGACAUAACUAAGAACUUAUAAUGACCAUAACGGGUCCUGAAUGCUGUCUUUGGAAUAUCACAUUUCCUUACCCUCAACUGAUGGUAGCCAGAUCUGAGAUCUAUCUUAGAGAAAUAGGUGGCACCCUGAAGUUGAACGAAAAUAUCAUCAAUUCUCGGAAGAAGAUAUUUGUUCUUGAUGCUAACCUUGUUCAACUGACGGUAAUCUAUACACAUCUUAAGGGAACCAUCCUUCUUCCUCAUAAACAAGACCGGAGUGCCCCAAGGUGAGACACUUGGUAUAAUAGACCCCACUAGGUCCCUAGAAUUCAGUCAGAAUCUUGAUUCCAAUAUCUUGCUUAGACGUAGGGUUUCUAAAACUUUAGAUAUUAGUUGUGAUUUAGCUGUCAGAAUAUUCCUAAUCAGAUUAUCAUGUUUUCGUGGAAUCGUUGCUUAGUUCUUUGCAUAAAAUUCAGAACCCUAGUUGUGUAGAUUCUCUUAGUCCAUGAAUUACACAUGCUAGGUCAGUUAAACAGAUAUACAUGUUUCAGUUUUCGAAUGUCACAUUAUCAGUAUAUAAUUGUUACAUUCUCAAAUUUUGCAUAUCAGUAUUUUGAGCUAUUUAGCAUAUCAGUUUUCAGUCAUACUGUGUCAUAUACUUAUUCAUUUGGGAGUAGGCUUAGCACCGAGUGGACUAGGGUUUCAAUGUACCCUCAUAGUCCCAGAACUACGUGCCCCCGUAGGUUAAGUCCCAUAUAUGGGCAUCAGUUUUAGUGAUCACCCCAGUCAUGCCUUUAUACCCCUGGCAAGGUAUAUUGGGCCCUUCGAUGGGGUGUAUACAUUGGACACCACAAGUAGCUCACGUGGUGGUUAUGUCGGUUACUAGUAGCUCCCACAGUCAGAUUCUAGUGCAUAUGACCAGGUUUUCAGUUAUACUUCAGUAUUCAGUCUCAACAUGUUAUGUACUUGGUCAUUGCAUUCAGCUCAGUUCUUCUCAAUAUAUUUCAGUAUUUCCAUCAUGUUCAGAUUAUAUCAUAGCUCAGUUAUGUUUUAUUCAGCUUAUAUGUUUUGUUCAGCUAUUAUCUUAUCUUGCAUGCUCAGUACCUUCAAGUACUGGCGCAUACUCUGCGCUACAUCUUUUUGUGAUGUAGGUUCAUGUCCUGAGCAUUCAGAUCAUGCGUAGAUCAGUUCCCAAUCCAUAUUCAGCAGCUUCAGUGAUGAGUCCUCAUACUUCAAGGACAAUAGACAUGUUUUCAGAUUUAGUCUUUCAUUUCAGUUUCAGUUUUGCUAGGGUUAGCUGGGGACAUGUCCCAACAACUCUAGUUAGUUAGAGGCUUUUUCAGACAUAGUUUAGAGUCAACUUUAGUUUUUGAGUGAUUGUUCAGUAUUACUAAACUCUUAGAAUUUUACAUAUAUUCAGGUCAGUAUUGGGUAUUCCUCAUCAUUCAGUUAUCUCAUUAUUUAGCUUCCGCAUUAGUUAUCUUUUCUUAGAUAAGUUAAGUUUGCUUAUGAUAUGUCAGCUCAGGUUUAGCUUGGGGUCACUCAUGAUCCUUGGUCACAUGUUUACGCCCAAGGUGUAGCCUCAGGGAGUGACAAAAUCCAAUGGACUAACCCAAUUUCAUAUGCACUUUAUUACUAAAAUCCUCAAUUGCCUUCACACAAGUAUACUCAUGAAGACUUCCUUUAGCCAUAAGAUUGUCAUUUCGAUAUCGAUCCACUCCCUUAGAGCUUACGAUGAAAUCACUAGUCCUUAGUUAAAAUUCUCGAGAUACACUUUACAACCUAAACACAUUAAUAUCGUACAAAAAAUUCACCACAAAUUCUUCCUUAUAAACAAUCUUUAACUCAAGCGUCUAUAGUAACAAGCUAGUUUUUUUCUCAAAUAUGAAUGCAACAUCGAAUCUCAUUAUACGAGCAUGUGAUACAACUGAUAACCCUUAAGUAGGUAGUAUUCAUACUUGACAAUCGACGUAUCCAUUUCCAUAUACCACUCGUACCACAUUGUGAAUGUCUGUUAGAUGCAUCACAAGAAAACCUUAUACCUAUCGAAAAGAUUGUACCCAAAUAACCCACAUAUUUCUACCCGUUGAGUAGCUGCAAAACAUUAUCAAAUAUGUUCAGUCUCUUUCCCAAUCGAUAUGCAUUCUUUCUUAGAUCAGGUCGAUAGCAAAAGUAAAACACUCUAUAACUCUAACCAAAUAAGCAUCGAUACUAUUGCAGUAGUCGUAUAAUGAGCUUAUUUGAUAUACACACAUUCUAUAAAAUCAUAGUAGAUAUUCUGACCUCAAUUGACGCAACAUCAUUCUGAUCAUUCACUAAGUAAUCCAUACAUGUUAUGACAACUUUACUAACUGUAUUUUUCAAAGUUACAGUGUUCAUUAACUAGCCAUCCUUUUAAUCCUUCAACUUCCAAUUGUUGAACCACUCCACAUAUCGUAUAUACAAUACAAAUAUUGUUCCCGCUACUGGGUAACUAACCAGAAAAAGAUAAUACAUUCAUGAAGUCUCUCAGAACAUUGUUUAACCUCAUCAUUCAGAUAUCUUCAAAAUGCUUCGUCGAGCCAUUACGUAACCUAACCCCUUCGAGUCACCAAACAUUCUAAAUUUGACCACAUAUCAUUUCGAUAAGUCUAUCACUUCUAAACCAAAUCUAACCUCCAAGCCAUACAUGACACCAACUACUUGUACGAAGAAUCAUGCACAAGUGAUCACGAUAAGUGAGAGAGUGGAAUGAAGUGAUAGGGAAUCAAAUCGGACCGACGACGCAUGAUAGAGAUUCAAGAAGUGAAGCUUUUUCGUAAAAGUCACCAUAGUCUCUCGAAGAUAAGUACAGACGUCUCCAUACCGAUCCUUGAGACUAUUAGACUCGUCUUGUAUACACAUGAGACCUACGAACCUGGGCUCUAAUACCAUUUUGUCACGACCUAAAAAUGGACGUAAUGGCACUCGUCUUAUCCCACCAAGACAAGUCAUCCUAAAACCCAACUAAUACGAUGAAUGCGAAAGUAAAACAAGAAAAAGGGACUAACACCAUCUAAUAAUGUGGAAGUCAUAAUCAACUCAAAAUAAAACCUCAAAACUUGGUAGUCACGUGUACAAGCCUCUAAAGUAUUACAAUUGAUAAAUGACAGUGUUUCUAGAAUAGAACAAGCUCAUAAAUAGGAGUAAGAAACUCCGCAGAGAUGACAAACAGUUACCUCACAAAUCUCCACAGGAAGCCUCGGGAA